rnacentral:rRNA from 1 species
GACGAACGCUGGCGGCGUGCUUAACACAUGCAAGUCGAACGAAGUGGCGAACGGGUGAGUAACGCGUAAUCAAACUGCCCUUCAGAGGGGGACAACAGUAGGAAACGACUGCUCAUACCGCAUACUGAAGGAGGGGAUUGCGUCUGAUUAGCUAGUUGGAGGGGGAACGGCCCACCAAGGCGAUGAUCAGUAGCCGGUCUGAGGGGGUGAACGGCCACAUGGGGAGUGAGACACGGCCCAGACUCCUACGGUAGGCCGCAGUGGGGAAUCUUCCGCAAUGGACGAAAGUCUGACGGAGCAACGCCGCGUGAGUGAUGACGGCCUUCGGGUUGUAAAGCUCUGUUAAUCGGGACGCGGUACCGGAAUAGAAAGCCACGGCUAACUACGUGCCAGCAGCCGCGGUAAUUC